rnacentral:lncRNA from 14 species
CCUUCCCAGUAGAGAGAAGUGAGGGCAGGGGUGGUGCCUAUCCUCCCAAUGCUGGUGCAGCAACUCUUAAAGAAAGUUCUUGUACAAAUAUAGUGAAAUGCCAAUGUAUUUAAUGUAUUGUGUCUGGGCUGUAGACGCAGAUGUCUGUAGUGGUCUACGUACUUUAAAGUAGGGAAUAUUUCCUGGCUAGCCAUGUGACCGUAACGCGAGCCGACAGUCGAGCACAGUGCUGCUAGCACAGACGGCGCCUUCUCUUGGAUUUGCCAGCUCCAGGAUGUGCCUGCACCACCAGCAGCCCAAUCCAGAGCCUCCCGGCCUGCAGGGCCAGCAUCUGCUCACUCACAGGGAAAAGGGCGGCUGUAGGAAAGCGCCCACUUCCACCCAUGUCCCUGACACACUCCCUCUGGUUACAUGCUUCCACAUCUCCCUCCCCAGAAUGAAGGGCGGUUUGAGGGUUCCAGUGGGUUUGUAUCAUUAAUCACUUUUUAAGUUUCAUGAUGAACUCUUCAGCGUGCCAAUGAGACCUUUUGCUCUGUUUUAAGGGCUCUGGAACUGCGGGGAAAACAGGGAGUUUAGGAAAAAAACCUGAAAUCGCCCAGGUCAUUGCUUCCUACACUGCUACGGGUCCUGAACAGCUCACCCUGGCUCCUGGUCAGCUGAUUUUGAUCCGAAAAAAGAACCCCGGUGGAUGGUGGGAAGGAGAACUACAAGCUCGAGGGAAAAAGCGCCAGAUAGGGUGGUUCCCAGCAAAUUAUGUCAAACUUCUAAGCCCUGGAACAAGCAAAAUCACCCCAACUGAGCUACCCAAGACCGCAGUGCAGCCAGCAGUGUGCCAGGUGAUCGGGAUGUACGAUUACACCGCGCAGAAUGACGAUGAGCUAGCCUUCAGCAAAGGCCAGAUCAUCAACGUCCUCAGCAAGGAGGACCCGGACUGGUGGAAAGGAGAAGUCAGUGGGCAGGUUGGGCUCUUCCCGUCCAAUUAUGUGAAGCUGACCACAGACAUGGACCCCAGCCAGCAAUGAAUCAUAUGUUGUCCAUCCCCCCUCAGGCUUGAAAGCCCUCAAAGAGACCCACUAUCCCAUAUCACUGCCCAGAGGGAUGAUGGGAGAUGCAGCCUUGAUCAUGUGACUUGCAGCAUGAUCACCUACUGCCUUCUGAGUAGAAGAACUCACUGCAGAGCAGUUUACCUCAUUUGACCUUAGUUGCAUGUGAUCGAAAUGUCUGAGUCACUGCGUGCAGAGGCAGAAGCAAAUUGCAGAACUGCACAGGGUGGUGGGUCCUUUUGUGGCUUUCCUAGUCACUCAGACUGACGGCCCCGCCUUCACACAGGCGCUUUCAAUAGUUUUAAGAUUAUUUUUAAAUGUGUAUUUUAGCCUUUUAAUAAAAAUCAAUCAAUUACUUCUUUGCUAUUUUGGUUUUGCAAAAAGACCCACUAUCAAGGAAUGCUGCAUGUACGAUUAAACACUGUUCCGAGCGUCCGUAAACCUGAGACUUGAUGUAUCUUUGCCAUUUGUUCAGUGUUACCAACCACAUUGUGUAGUUGGGGCCUUUCCCCCGCUGUAGAGCACAGAGGAGCUGGGUGCACCUGUUUGAAGAUGUGUAGACUGAGCCUGAGUAAACAGACGGUGCUAUGCCUGUCUGUGACUGAUGUGUAACGUCUGUGCUGAGGAAGUAGCUCUCCACAUGGCAAACACCACCACCGUUACAAUGCUCUCAUCGACUGCAGUAACUUGAUUUUGCACAGUGACCUUGUAGCCACCCGAGGAAGCACCCGUGUUUCCGUUUGGUAUCAUCUGGUUGUGCUGGUAUUUGGUUUUGAGUCUUUAACGUGGCGUGUUUUCAUACCAUGAGUCAGUGAGACGCCACUGCCUGGUUACAGUCAUCGCUGUCCACUGUCUUCGUCUCUGUUACACGACGGUUUAUUCAGUUGCUUUUCAUGGAAUAUUUUGAACAAGUAAUUUUCUUGACAAGAAAGAAUGUAUAGAAGUCUCCCCACAAUUAAUUUCCAGUGUUUACAUUUUUUAACUAGACUGUGGAGUUUCUACAGAUUAAUAUGAAAUGGCGCUCCUGGUCCGUGUGUGUGUUAACUCGUGCUGUAGCUGAUGCCAUGUUUGUCUUUAGACAUUAGUUGGAAGCUCUCAAUAAAAAAAGAAAAGGUGCCCACCGCUGACAGCACAGAAAAUGGGUUGUGGAAGCCUGAAGCGCCAUUUAGCUGUCCUAGUAGUAAGUGUAACCCGGCGUCCCUCUGGGCUCCUCCCGGGGAGACGCCGUGCUGGCGGUGUUCAUGGUGCUGAGGAUGGGCUGCCCUCCUUGUCGCCCUGGGCUCAGUGUUUCCAUGCAUAUGAUUGUAAAAUAUAUAAAUACACAAACCUGCAGCUUUAACAAUUGUAAUACAACCUUUUUGGAUUAGUUAUGUGUAUAGAUAAUUAAAUUCUUC